GUGGGGAAUAUUGGACAAUGGGCGCAAGCCUGAUCCAGCCAUGCCGCGUGAGUGAUGAAGGCCCUAGGGUUGUAAAGCUCUUUCACCGGUGAAGAUAAUGACGGUAACCGGAGAAGAAGCCCCGGCUAACUUCGUGCCAGCAGCCGCGGUAAUACGAAGGGGGCUAGCGUUGUUCGGAAUUACUGGGCGUAAAGCGCACGUAGGCGGGUAUUUAAGUCAGGGGUGAAAUCCCGGAGCUCAACUCCGGAACUGCCUUUGAUACUGGGUACCUAGAGUAUGGAAGAGGUAAGUGGAAUUCCGAGUGUAGAGGUGAAAUUCGUAGAUAUUCGGAGGAACACCAGUGGCGAAGGCGGCUUACUGGUCCAUUACUGACGCUGAGGUGCGAAAGCGUGGGGAGCAAACAGGAUUAGAAACCCCAGUAGUCC
rnacentral:rRNA from 1 species